GGUUGUAUGGCCUAGUGGUGAUUGCGCCUUGUUCUACCUAGCGAAGAGGUCCUGGUUCAAUUCCACCUGCAUUCA